AUCUACAGCCAUACCACCCUGAACGCGCCCCAUCUCGUCUGAUCUUAGAAGCUAAGCAGGGUCGGGCCUGGUUAGUACUUGGAUGGGAGGAAUAGUAAAACUCAUGUAAACU
ensembl:rRNA Gm24573 predicted gene, 24573